UAUGUACAUGCCUAUAGCAUUAAUGCACUAGAUCCCAUUAGAACUCUGUAGUUAAGCGUGCUUGUGCUAGAGUAGUACUGGGACGGGUGAUUGCCCGAGAAGUCCUAGUGUUUUACAUGC
rnacentral:rRNA from 1 species